AAAGAUUAAGCCAUGCAUGUCUAAGUACAAACUAUUUAAUCGUGAAACCGCGAAUGGCUCAUUAUAACAGCUAAAAUCUACUUGAUCUUGACACAAUCCUACUUGGAUAACUGUGGUAAUUCUAGAGCUAAUACAUGCAUUAAAGCUCUGACCUCACGGGACGAGUGCAUUUAUUAGAACAAAACCAAGCGGCUUCGGCUGUUUUCGGUUGACUCAUAGUAACUGAGCUGAUCGCAUGGUCUUGCACCGGCGACGUGUCUUUCGAGUAUCUGCCGUAUCAACUUUCGAUGGUAGUGUAUCUGACUACCAUGGUGAUCACGCGUAACGGAGAAUAAGGGUUCGACUCCGGAGAGUUCGCCUGAGAAAUCGCGAACACAUCUAAGGAAGGCAGCAGGCGCGAAAAUUACCCACUCUCAGCACGAGGAGGUAGUGACGAAAAAUAACGAGACCGUUCUCUUUCGAGGCCGGUCAUCGGAAUGGGUACAAUUUAAACCCUUUAACGAGUAUCUAUGAGAGGGCAAGUCUGGUGCCAGCAGCCGCGGUAAUUCCAGCUCUCAAAGUGCAUAGAAUUAUUGCUGCGGUUAAAAAGCUCGUAGUUGGAUCUGUGCCUAUUGGACGGGGUCCACCUUCUGGGUGCGUACUCCGCUCCGAGGCUUUUUGCUGGUUUUCCCGUCGUAGCCUUGAUUGGUUGCGGCGGGUGGCUGGCGAGUUUACUUUGAGAAAAUCAGAGUGCUCAACACAGGCGUCUAGCUUGAAUGAUUGUGCAUGGAAUAAUAGAAAAGGAUUUCGGUCCUCUUUUAUUGGUUUUGUGGACUGAGAUAAUGGUUAAGAGGGACAAACGGGGGCAUUCGUAUCGCUGCGUGAGAGGUGAAAUUCUUGGACCGUAGCGAGACGCCCUACUGCGAAAGCAUUUGCCAAGAAUG
rnacentral:rRNA from 1 species